rnacentral:sRNA from 1 species
CUGCCGCUAUCCGCUGCCCAAAAAGGACAAACUCAAGGGCAUUCAUGGCCCGACUCAAAUACGGAACAAGCAAACUAGAAGCUCAAACUCAAACCCAAACGAACAGCAAAAACCCAGCCGUAGCUUUUUACAGCAAUUUCGUACGCAUGACUUUGAUAAGUUCACCGGCGCUAAGGUCAGCGGUAAAUCGGUACAGUGCAUAAACAUUGAUACAAGCGAUACGAUUGAUCCCGCAUGAUGAGUCAGCGGCGUUGAACGGCUGAACAUUGAACGAUGGACAGGCGCCCCCGCCCCCGCCCCCAAUAACGCGUCGGAAGAUAUGGGGUUCCAGGAAUCCCAAUCGCCAUCCUCGUUCCUCCCCUCCCUCCUGCCAACCACGCCCUCAGUAUUUCGUCAGAAAAGCUUGAGCUUACAACUGUCCUACGAGCACAUCCUGUGUCACCUUCAACUGUCAUACGCGGACGACGGCGACGUCGCUGCCCGUUGCUGCUGCCUGCUGCCUGCUGUUGAUGUUGGCAGCGGCCUGUGCAGAGAGUAUUCGGGAAUCCAGUUUUUGGGGGCUCGCCCCGUCACACACAAAGCCACAUAGUGUGCUGUAUAUGUAUGUACAUAUACAUUAACUUAUAUAUACAUACAUAUACAUAUGUAUAUGUAUGUAGAUGUUUGAGUGCGAGGGGUUGCUUUUGCGCUUGUCCGUUUUGUUACAUAUUACAAACAUAUUGUACAUAAUAUAUACAAAAUAAUUGAUUUUUGUUAGUAUUUUAUCGUGGGUAUUACAUACAUACAUAUAUGUAUGUAUGUACCUACUCUUUGAGUGUGUGACGUCAAUGAUGAUGACGUCGCCGAAGCAGCGUCGUCUGUCUGAUGAAACGCAACCCACUCAGCCUCUGCCUCAGUCCAGAGGUCAAUGCAGCGACAGAGCGGCGCAGCGGCUAAUGACAGAGAGUGGAAAAUUUGUGAAAAUCACAAAAUCCUAGAGAGGAUGGGUGACAGAAAGAGAGACAGAUAGAGAGAGAGCGAGAGCGAAAGCGAGAUGCUAUCCGGCCUUCGCUCAUGAGGAAAAGUCAUUAAUUAUAAUACUUAUUGUAUUUGGCAAGCCGUAAAUAAACUUCACGUGACGCUCGAAAAACGCGGAAAACACA